rnacentral:rRNA from 1 species
UACGUAGGGGGCAAGCGUUGUCCGGAUUUAUUGGGCGUAAAGAGCGUGUAGGCGGCCAAGCAGGUCCGCUGUGAAAACUCGAGGCUCAACCUCGAGACGUCGGUGGAAACCGUUUGGCUAGAGUCCGGAAGAGGAGAGUGGAAUUCCCGGUGUAGCGGUGAAAUGCGCAGAUAUCGGGAAGAACACCCGUGGCGAAGGCGGCUCUCUGGGACGGUACUGACGCUGAGAAGGCGAAAGCAUGGGGAGCGAACAGG